rnacentral:rRNA from 1 species
UACGGAGGAUGCAAGCGUUAUCCGGAAUGAUUGGGCGUAAAGCGUCCGCAGGUGGCAAUGUAAGUCUGCUGUUAAAGAGUCUAGCUCAACUAGAUACAAGCAGUGGAAACUACAUAGCUAGAGUACGUUCGGGGCAGAGGGAAUUCCUGGUGUAGCGGUGAAAUGCGUAGAGAUCAGGAAGAACACCGGUGGCGAAGGCGCUCUGCUAGGCCGUAACUGACACUGAGGGACGAAAGUGUGGGGAGCGAACAGG